rnacentral:rRNA from 1 species
GUGAGGAAUAUUGCGCAAUGGAGGCAACUCUGACGCAGCCAUGCCGCGUGCAGGAAGAAGGCGCUACGCGUUGUAAACUGCUUUUAACCGGGAAGAAACCCCAGGACGUGUCCUGGGUUGACGGUACCGGAGGAAUAAGCACCGGCUAACUUCGUGCCAGCAGCCGCGGUAAUACGAAGGGUGCAAGUGUUAUCCGGAUUCAUUGGGUUUAAAGGGUGCGUAGGCGGAGCGUUAAGUCAGUGGUGAAAUCCUGCAGCUUAACUGUAGACUUGCCAUUGAUACUGGCGCUCUUGAGUGCGCUUGAAGUGGGCGGAAUGUGCCGUGUAGCGGUGAAAUGCUUAGAUAUGGCACAGAACACCAAUUGCGAAGGCAGCUCACUAAGGCGAUACUGACGCUGAGGCACGAAAGCGUGGGGAUCGAACAGGAUUAGAAACCCCAGUAGUCC